GUGCGCCACCGGGCCGGCCCCUACUUAACCCUUUUAAGGGCCCUUUUGUAAGCCCACGCUGACUCAGUUACUCCCACCCCUGGGGACCCCACCAUGGAUACUCCCCAGGCUUUAACCCCAGGGAAUAGCUUCUUACUGAAAAAACCACAUGCAAAAACUCUACAGCCCAGGUGGACUGGUCCCCACACGGUGGUUCUAACCACCCCCACAGCCACAAAACUCCUGGGACACCAUCCCUGGGUACACCUUUCCAAACUUAAGCAUGCCCCCCCUGAGGCCCCAUCCCAAGAUGUAUGGACAGCACAGCCCUUGGGGCCUAUGCGGGUUCGGCUAUCACGUCCUCCUGACUCUGUCUCUUAGUCCCACUGCUACUGUUUCAGGAUAUAGAUGGAGAUUUUAGUUAACAGAAACCUGGACAAAGUAUGUCUAUCUGUGCAGAGUUCUCCAAGUGUUAAAGCAGAAGCUUACUGAAAAAAGGGUAAAAAGUAUUUUUGAAAGUCAUACUGCUAUGAGAAAUGUUAUCAGAACUAUCAGCAUACAUUUUCCCCCUGGGUUUACUGGUCAAACAGGGUUGCAUUUACCUCUGCUUGAAGGUUUUAAAGCCAAAGUUGUGAAUGCAGCCAAAACGGAUCAUUCUGUAUGCAAUUCUUAGGCAAAUGAGGCUAAUUUGGUUAUUGUUGCUAAAAAGGAAACAAGAUUGUAGGAAAAGAGGAGAUAUGGGAAAGCUAUGAAGAUGUCGUUAUGGUUAGGAAGGUCAAAAAGAAAAAAAUACUUUUGUGUGGGAAAGCAUCUUGUGUAGUGAAUUUUGUCCUAGAAUAGAAUGGCUGAAAUAAUAAGUAUGUGAGGUAAUGAAUGUUAAUCAGCCUGAUUUUGUCAUUUCACAAUGUAUACAUGUCUUGAAACACUACAUUGUACCUCAUGAACAUACAAAGCUAUAGUCUGCCAGUUAAAACAAAAUAAAAUUUUUAAAAGACA